ACGACAGACUUUUACUAAAACCACCAUCACAAUCCCAGACCUUCCUAAGUCGCCUGGAGAAAGGAAAGAAGAAACUCCGAAAUUUACAUAGUAUUGGAGAGACCGGGAGAUACGAUACCCGCAAAAACGUAUCCAAUUACCCAAUUGCGUUAUGCUUUCUCACUACUGAUGGAAAUUCCCGCCCUGAUUGAGGAGAGUGAGACUGACACACACCCCCUCUGACACGUGUAGUAGCCGACAGCUUCUUUUCACCUGCACGAGGCAAGUGCAUAUGCAGAUCAGCUUUGUGUACAGAGAGCCACACCCUGAUCAACGUAUUAUCCCUCGACUCAACAGCCAAUCGUUGUUCAUGUAGGCGCCCAGCCUGCCAGAUGGCGGGGCUGAGUUUCGAGCCGACGAGUUUGAAAAGUCAGCUUUGGUCUGCUAGUGUGUUUUACCGCUGCGUGGAGUGUCCACACAAAAUUCUAUUGCACUUUCUACAACAUGUUUCAGUGUAAUGUAAAUUUAAUGAGCCAUGCCCAUGGGCUCAACAGUUUCAAUUUAGUAGAGCUUGAAUUGGAAUUUUUGGUAGUACGUUAGAGGCUAAACAACUGAAUGAACACUGAACCUCUGUCCCUUAUUUCUUACUGAACAUCU